AACGCACAUCAAAACACCAACACACACACACACACACACACACACACACACACAUGACAGAUAUAGAUAGACACUUCGUAAAACAUUGUUUUAUGUCUAUUCUAACUUGUAAAGGGUUAUAUAUUUUUUUUAUUAAUUGACAUACUUAUGUUUCAGAUUCUGUAUGUGACUGUUUAAUCAUGCCAUGUACAAAAGACGUCUUAGAACUGUCUGAAUUUUAAGGAGACCGUGUUGUAGGUCAUUCUGAAGUGGAUACAGUGAGGGUAAAAUUGUGCGACCAGAUCAACCAGGUCCCUCUGGCAGGACCUUUCUCUUUAUUAAGAGAAGGGUGGAAGAUAAUACCCGUUGCAAGGCCUCUGACUUAGCAGAACAAAUUGAUGUCAAUCCCAAAACAGCUGUCAGGUAUCUCCACAAAGUUGGUUGCUAUGGCAGAACAGCAAGAAGGAUGCGACUUCUUGUUAUACUGAGAUUGUAUACAUGCAUGUAUACAAUUAAUUAUUUACAAUACGAAUGCAUGUAUACAAUUCUUUCUUCACAAUUCUUUCGUGCAUAGUCGCCUUUAGAAGUUAGAAUAUGUCACAAACGUAUUCUAACUAACCUAAAUUUCCUUUAUUCCUGAUUACUGCUUGAUGCUGAUGUAACUAUUUUCAUCCCGACCAGACGGUACACUUGCGCAACUCAGUCACUAAUGUUCACGCUUAUUUAUUUAUUAUUAUUUAAAGCUUCGGCUUGAUUAACCUUGUAAAAUGACGGAUCUCAGUAUGUGCAUGCUGAAUUCUAUGGUGAAUAUGGGAAUAGAAAUGAAUAAAGGAAGAGUGACACAAGGAAGAAAGGGAGAGGAAUAAAUAUCGUUGAAAAUAAAGAUAAAUCAGAAAUAUGUCACGUAACGAUAUGAAUUCUGUACAUCAAGACAAGUUAGGAUAUUAACGAACAGAAUAUUAUAUUUUUAUUUGUUUAUUUACAUUGAGAGUAUCUUUUUAAACGAGGAGUAAAUCAAUAUGAAAGAUUUGAAAUAUUGCUAUGACGUUUCUUCCUGUCGGCUUAUAACACUGAUGUAUUUGCUACAGACAUCUACAGUAAAUUGUUGUUUUACAACGCCAUUCCUUUGGGGAAAUAUUUUACGGCUACACGAUUUGUUGAAAGCCUAUAUGAAUUUUUAUCACGGUUUCGGUCAUAAAGAUAUUUCCAGUUUGAUUUAUCAUUCUUAUAUAUGAAAUCAGGAAGAACGUACGAAAAUCUUAAUAAGUGAUUACACCAACGUCAUAUACAAUGCGAAAUAAUCGGAUUCAAAUAUUAAGCGUAGUCUAAAAUUAUGAAUUGUAUUGAUUCACAAGUCCGACACGCCAAAUAUGUUCAAUUCAUCCUCAUUUUGUUAUCGAUAAAUAGUACCAGAAACUAUCUGUAAUAUUGCUUUUAAAUCCUCUGAAUUAUUUGUCAGCCAUGUGUAACGAAGAAGAUGAUAAAUAAAU